rnacentral:tRNA from 1 species
GAUUCCGUGGUGUAGCGGUUAUCACAUCUGCCUAACACGCAGAAGGUCCCUGGUUCGAUCCCGGGCGGAAUCA